CCGCGUGCAGGAUGAAGGCCUUCGGGUUGUAAACUGCUUUUGUACGGAACGAAAAGGUGCCUUCUAAUAAAGGGCGCUCAUGACGGUACCGUAAGAACAACCACCGGCUAACUACGUGCCAGCAGCCGCGGUAAUACAUAUGGUGCAAGCGUUAAUCGGAAUUACUGGGCGUAAAGCGUGCGCAGGCGGUUUUGUAAUACAGAUGUGAAAUCCCCGGGCUCAACCUGGGAACUGCCUUUGUGACUGCAAGGCUGGAGUGCGGCAGAGGGGGAUGGAAUUCCGCGUGUAGCAAUGAAAUGCGUAGAUAUGCGGAGGAACACCGAUGGCGAAGGCAAUCCCCUGGGCCUGCACUGACGCUCAUGCACGAAAGCGUGGGGAGCAAACAGGAUUAGAUACCCUGGUAGUCCACGCCCUAAACGAUGUCAACUGGUUGUUGGGGAUUAAUUUUCUCAGUAACGAAGCUCACGCGUGAAGUUGA
rnacentral:rRNA from 1 species